AUACGGGGGGGGCGAGCGUUGCCCGGAAUCACUGGGCUUAAAGGGGGCGUAGGCGGUAGGGCAAGUCCGGUGUGUAACUCCGGGGCUCAACCCCGGGACUGCACUGGAUACUGCUCUACUCGAGGGCGUCAGAGGAGAGCGGAACGCCUGGUGUAGCGGUGAAAUGCGCAGAUAUCAGGCGGAACGCCGGUGGCGAAGGCGGCUCUCUGGGGCGACCCUGACGCUGAGGCCCGAAAGCCAGGGGAGCGAAGGGGAUUAGAAACCCCAGUAGUCC
rnacentral:rRNA from 1 species